rnacentral:rRNA from 1 species
CAGCGUAAGUCUUAAUUCAGUAGCCUAGCUACUUGUUUACACCCUUGUUUUUGCGUACCUAUUGUUUCCUCGGCGGGCUUGCUCGCCGGUUGGACAAAACUAUAACCUUUUUUAAAUCUUCAAUCAGCGUCUGAAUUAUACAUAAUAAUUACAACUUUCAACAACGGAUCUCUUGGUUCUGGCAUCGAUGAAGAACGCAGCGAAAUGCGAUAAGUAGUGUGAAUUGCAGAAUUCAGUGAAUCAUCGAAUCUUUGAACGCACAUUGCGCCCCUUGGUAUUCCAUGGGGCAUGCCUGUUCGAGCGUCAUUUGUACCCUCAAGCUUUGCUUGGUGUUGGGCGUCUUGUCUUGUAUUAGACUCGCCUUAAAGUCAUUGGCAGCCAGUGUUUUUGGUAGUAAGCGCAGCACAUUUUGCGUCUUAGUCCUUGAAUCGUGGCAUCCAUGAAGCCUUUUUUCACUUUUGACCUCGGAUCAGGUAGGGAUACCCGCUGAACUUAAGCAUAUCAAUAGGGCGGAGGAAGAA